GCAGGCCGGAAGCUCAUUGGCCUUUGUGGAAAGGGCGGGAAAGGGAGCGAGCACUGGGUCUUCCCUCAGGCCUCUGGUGCGGAGCCCACUGAUUCCGACCUGCCGAAGGCUGAGAACCAUGGAUCCCAAUGAAAUGCCUGCUGUGCACUGCUGCCCCUCUGACUCCACCAAAGGGCUUGGGACUGGAUUCCCAUGGGGGAUUAAAAUUGUUCCCAGAAGAGCUAUAAUUCUCUGUGCCCGCUGCCACAACCAUGGCAUCACUGACCAAAUCAAGGACCAUGAGCACUGCUGCCUCUUCCAGACCUGCAAGUGUCACAAGUGUGUCCGCUUCUCGCAACACUGCACGGUCUCGCCUGCUGAGAGUGCCUUGAAGAGGGAGCAGAGGGUACACCUAAAGAGGCACCUGGCUCAAGGACUGAUAAGGAGUGGGGCCGCCCCUCCCAAAGCUCACCGCCGU